rnacentral:rRNA from 1 species
AAGUCGAGCGGACAGAUGGGAGCUUGCUCCCUGAUGUUAGCGGCGGACGGGUGAGUAACACGUGGGUAACCUGCCUGUAAGACUGGGAUAACUCCGGGAAACCGGGGCUAAUACCGGAUGGUUGUUUGAACCGCAGGGUUCAAACAUAAAAGGUGGCUUCGGCUACCACUUACAGAUGGACCCGCGGCGCAUUAGCUAGUUGGUGAGGUAACGGCUCACCAAGGCAACGAUGCGUAGCCAACCUGAGAGGGUGAUCGGCCACACUGGGACUGAGACACGGCCCAAACUCCUACGGGAGGCAGCAGUAGGGAAUCUUCCGCAAUGGACGAAAGUCUGACGGAGCAACGCCGCGUGAGUGAUGAAGGUUUUCGGAUCGUAAAGCUCUGUUGUUAGGGAAGAACAAGUACCGUUCGAAUAGGGCGGUACCUUGACGGUACCUAACCAGAAAGCCACGGCUAACUACGUGCCACCAGCCGCGGUAAUACGUAGGUGGCAAGCGUUGUCCGGAAUUAUUGGGCGUAAAGGGCUCGCAGGCGGUUUCUUAAGUCUGAUGUGAAAGCCCCCGGCUCAACCGGGGGAGGGUCAUUGGAAACUGGGGAACUUGAGUGCAGAAGAGGAGAGUGGAAUUCCACGUUGUACC